UUCUUUUCUACUCUCUACUGUUGCCGGAAUUCUCAUUGUGCACGUGAGAAAAUUCAUUGCUAAGAAGGUUGCCCACUCAUAAGUUUGUUUGAAAAUAUGGACAAUCUAAAUGAUGAAGAGGAGGAGAUUAUCCUAUCUAAUUAUAAAUUGCAGGUUUGUUUGAAAAUAUGGACAAUCUAAAUGAUGAAGAGGAGGAGAUUAACCUAUCUAUGCACUUGUGCACGAGCAAUUGAAUUAUAUUAAAAAUCCUUAUAUGGAUUCUUCACAAACAGGUAAUAUAUGGUUGAUGGAAUUAUUACAGGGGAAUGAUAGGUGAUGUUAUACCAUGUUGAGGAUGGACAAAGAUGUAUUUUACAUAUUAUCUAAUGAGUUGCAAUCUAAAUAUGGGUUGCAGGGUUC